UACGUAGGGGGCUAGCGUUAUCCGGAAUUACUGGGCGUAAAGGGUGCGUAGGUGGUUUCUUAAGUCAGAGGUGAAAGGCUACGGCUCAACCGUAGUAAGCCUUUGAAACUGAGAAACUUGAGUGCAGGAGAGGAGAGUAGAAUUCCUAGUGUAGCGGUGAAAUGCGUAGAUAUUAGGAGGAAUACCAGUUGCGAAGGCGGCUCUCUGGACUGUAACUGACACUGAGGCACGAAAGCGUGGGGAGCAAACAGGAUUAGAUACCCCGGUAGUCCCUGAG
rnacentral:rRNA from 1 species